GUACAGAGAAGAUAAACAAAAAGACCAUCAUUCUUUUACAUAUCUCAAAACACAACAUCCGGUCGCCCUAGUUUGAGCUCUAAGAUCACCAUUGCAACUGAUCAAGAAUUUCACCUCAGCUUUGCUCGACAUAGAAUUUAAGAUUCCACCCCUACUUUGCACGAAACAGAAAGACAGUCAUCUAUGCAAAUGGGAAGUUGCUGUGUUCUUCAAAAUAAUCAGAAAAAAGGAAGUAGAAUGUUGUUGGGGAGUUUGCAUAAACUCAUGAGAAUGCUCUCCACUUGUCCGAUAUAGAAUGGAAUCGACAAUUUGUUGAAUGGUUUAAAGAUAGGGUUGCACAAUUGCAUAAAGGAGAUUCUAGUCAUAUUAUGGAAGAUCUUGUCUCGCUUUAACGCGGUCCUAACCGAUAUUCGACGUAUUCUAAAGAUUCAAGAUGAAACCAUUGAAGACUGAAAAUGAGGUUGACUCGUCUAUGAAGAGUACUAUCAAAUAUAAAUUUGUUGCGCCUGGUACUAUUGGAAUGGGACGAGGACAAGGGCUUAAAUCUUUGUCUGAGAGAAUAAAUUUUCCAACUUAGAGUUAUGUUUCUCAAUCUAGUUAUCUGGUUAAUCGAUACAUCCAAGAAAUUGAAAAAAGGAAGGAACGAGGACAACGACUUACAAACUCUACUUUGUUUACUAGUCAAGAAUGACAACGAUACCUAAGAACUCCAUUGAUCUUGAGAAAGAGAAAAAACGAAUUAACUCCUCAGCUCAUGCAUUGACUAAUCUAGGGAAGGUCCGAGAACAAGGAAUUGCAAACUCUGCUUUGUUUACUAGUAAAGGAAUGCCAAAGAUACCUAAGAACUCUAUCGAUCUAGAGCAAGAGAACAAGCAAACUAUCCCCUCAGCUUAUGCAUCGAGUAAUCUAGGGAAUGGGCGAGGACAAGGACCUAAAAGCCCUACUUUUUUUUUACUAGUCAAGGAAUGGGAAUGAACCAUAACAACAACAUGACUUCUGAAUCUGAGGUGGGAUGUAUUAAAAAGAGUGGUCUUUCUGCUAAUCAACAUACAAAAACUCAUUCUAAGAGAACAAGAGAGAAUUCGACCAUGUUGUCAAGAAAUGCAAACAAUGGAUAAAAUGAUUCUUGAGAAAGAGGAUAUGCUAAACUAUUGAUCAGGUUAUGGAACACUCUCAAACAACUGGAAAAGGUUCAUCAAAUCCUACAAAGGUAAGAAGAGUUCAAGGGAGAAACAUGUGCAAAGAAGUUGCUUCACUUGAAAAUGGAGAAAAUCUAAAAGUAAUAUUUUAUAAUAAUCGAACUGUUGGAACAAAUAGCAUAUUAUUUUCAAGGCAUUUAGGAAAAAAUGUUCGUGAUCGUAAUAUCUCUCCAUUGGGAGUAACCUCGUGGAGUGAUAUUAAGCCAGAAAAGUUAUGUAAUAUGUGGGCAGCUGUUGAGCACAAAUUUGAGGCUAUUGGCAUGAAUGAUUAUCGUGAUCAUAUCUUGGGAUGGAUGAAUGAGUUAUGGAACAAAUGGAGAGGACACUUACAUGAAAAAUAUGUCAAGAAUAAGCCCAUUCAACAAUCUCUCAAAUAUAUCCCAAGGGAAGUAGACAAAAAAGCAUGGGAAUGGUUAAUAAAGGAACAUUUUACUUCUUAAAGUUUUUAGUAUCAGGAAUGCAACAAACCGAUCUAAGUUGAAGAUGUUUGGUCAUAUUGGUAGCAAACCUAUUCGAGAGAUUAUUUAUCAAAAGGCUCAACUUGAGGAAAUAGUUCAAGAAGAUCCAUCUCUAUCUAGUAUAGAGAUUGUUGAAAAAUCUUGUGGACCACAAACUCGUAGCCUUGUAUUAGGAUUUAGGGGUGAAGUGAAGGCGAAAGAUUUGAAAGGUAGAACUUCCUCAAAGACUUAAUUUUUGUCUUUGCUACUUUCAACCCGAGAUGAUAACCACCACUCCACUUGUUUUUUAUAAUUUUGUCAUACUUGCCAGUAUGUUAGUACAGUUCAAGAGAAACAUUGAAUGUUGAUAUAAAGAAAUGUAUUGACUGUUGUAUUAGUACGGUCAUCCUCAUUUUGAUUUCUA